CGGACGCCGCCGACCGCUGGCGGUGCGCACAAGUUCGGUGCUCAACUUCCCGCUCUUAACGAGACCUGGGAUCCCUUUGGAGAGGCCCUCGGGAGCUGGCGGCGGGGCUGGGAGUGGCGUGGAGAGGAGUUUCUGUGAAGAGCAGGACACUUCAUCCCCAAUAACAGGAGGGAAGGCACAGAAUAUGGCUAGAG